GCCAGCAUGGUACAAUGGUAUGAGCAUUGGAUUAUGACUCUAGAGACCAGGGUUCAAAUCCCCAUUCAGCCA